ensembl:lncRNA
GCGUUUUGUACGCAAAACAUAGCUUUGGUGGAGGUAGACCAACAAGUGCGAACUUCAGGGGAAAACUCCGUUUUGAGGUGUUUCUUCAACAUCAAUCCAGAGAAGGGCACAAAAGUUGAGACAAAGAAAAACAAGAAACAACUGUCACUGAACCCAAGAGUCCUCACCGUCAUCGCAGAUCUCUCUGACCAUGAGUGGAGAGAAACAUGUUGAAGAUGGAGUUAACUGAGAGAAUCAUGCCAGCAGACACUUGAUGGUCAACAGUGAAUCCUCAACCAAAACCAGUGUUUCAAGUUCCAGUUCCAGCAUCAUGUUGGGGUGAGAUGAUCCCA